GAAGGUAUAGCUCAAGUGGUAGAGCGAAUGGUUAGCAUGCACAAGGUCCUGGGUUCAACCCCCAGGACCUCCU
rnacentral:tRNA from 1 species